AUUAAUGCAUUGCGCACAAUCUUGGAGCUACACAGAAAACUUCCGCGCAAAGUCCAAAGCAAUGUCCAUCUGCUCGUAAAGUACCUGUAACAGCUAAGAUAGUGACUUCUAUUUGACUUUCCAAAUUAAAUCAACAUUCGUUCUUCAGAUUAUAUACACAGUACAUUCGCAUUCCUAACCAUUGAGCAGCUCUCUGUAUUACGCGGAGUCGCGCGCAAAAGCGCAUCAUCUGGUCUGACAGAGCAGGGAUAAUCAGACUGAUGCUGAAGGUCCUGAAGGAGUAAGUGGUGGUUAUUACGGGGUGUGAAAGUGACCAAAUUACUCUUGAGCUGAUGUGAACUGCCCAACUCCACUACUAAGAGCUUGCCUGAGUUUUCCACACGGGGGAGAGAAGGUACCGUUACCUCCUCUACGAAUAACCUGACCCAUUCAUUAGAUUUAGAAAUUGCAACGAGUGAGAUUAUAAAUCAAGUCCAUACACUAGCAUUCAAAUGUUUGGGGCCGGUAGGAUUUGCUCACCAAGGCUGCAUUUAUUUGAUCAAAAAUACAGUAAAAACACUAAACAUAAAAAAAAAAAAAAAAAAAAAUGUAUUCCUGUUGAACACGCUGAAUUUUCAGCAUCAUUACUCUUGUGUCACGUGAUCCUUCAGAAAUAAUCUGAUCUGCUGCUCAAGAAACAUUAUUAUUAUGAGUGUUGAAAAUGUUUUUUUUUUUUUUUUUUACAGUGUACUUAAAAAUAAGUCUUGUGACAAAUUAAUCUUCAAGUACAAAUAUUCCAUGUGGCCUCUUUAGUAAUAUGUCAUAAAAACUACACAUAUAAUAAUAAAAGACUCAAAUUUUCUAAAUAACGUGAUUGGUGCUUACCUGUCUUGAUGAUAGAGUGGUCAUCAGGUUCCCAUAAAAACCUGUAAUAUUGAGUUAAUAUAUAUAAAAACACCAACUAACAUAUUUUCACAUGUGAAAAGUUAUCCCAUUUCUUCAGGAAUUUAAAUCUCGGCAGUUUCACAAACAGAAACUGUGCAAUGUGGCAUCGAUUCUUGAGUGAUGACAUGCUGACCGUUCCAAGAUGGCGGGUGCACCGACAUGCCUGGAGCGGUCGAAUGUGGCAUCUACAUAUAGUUCACUCACUUCAGUCUAUAAUAUUCUGAUGUGUAUGGCUCGGGAUCUUUCUUCAAUGCAACUUUUUUUUUUUUUUUCUCCCACUUUAUCGCUCACAAGGUGAAAAUCAUCAGCUCGUUUAGAAAAGUUACAGCACACAUCUCUUCAACAAGCCGCAUGCAUCAUUCAUCCCAGCUGAAAAACCCCAGCUUAAAUCAGUCUAAGCUGGUUGUCUGGUCGUAGCUGGUUUAAGAUGGUCUAUCCAGCUGGUCCAACUGAAAAAGUGCCCAAAACCUCUCUAAAACCAGCCUGAAGACCAAAAGAUCAGCUUAAGCUGGUUUAAGAUGUCUUUUUUCAGCAGAGAUGUCCAUAACAGCAAUGGUGCAGCAUAACUAAUGCAACAAUGCAUGCAAGUUGAAAACGCAGGAGUUAAAUGUAUUUCGAAAAUAAAAUGACAACUUAGGGAAUGAGAAAAAACAAAUCUUUAUUCACAUUGAUCAUAUUUAUUCACACCUUACAGUUAAAAAUGGACUAAUUUUGCCUCUUCAUUCUUCAGUUCUCAUUGUUAAAAAGUAGUGUUCAUAUUUUUUUACUUUCAUUGUUUAAUAAGCUUGUUUCCACCACAUAUCCGAUAUAAACUCGCAAUUCUUUUUUCCUUGCAAUUGCAAGUUUCUAACUCGCGAUUCUUACUUUUUUCAGAAGUAUGAGAUAUAAAAUUGGAAUUGCGAAAAAAAGUCAGAAUUGUGAAAUAUAAACUGAAUUUAAAAAAGGUAAUUGUAGCUUUUUAUCUCACAAUUCUGACUUUUUUUCUCCUCGCAAUUGCGAGUUUAUAACUCGCGGUUCUUACUUUUUUCAGAAUUGUGAAAUAAAAUUGAAAUUGUAAGAAAAAAGUUAGAAUUGUGAGAUAAACUCAAAAUUAAAAAUUUUAAUUGUGGCUUUUUAUCUCACAAUU